rnacentral:ncRNA from 1 species
CAAAAAAGGUAGAGUGAACCUCUGCCUAGUCAUAUUAUUCAAUAUGGCAAAACCUUCAAAUUGACGGGAAAGCCCUAAAGCAAUUUAAACCAAACAGAUGUGGUAACACAUUUGUGGCACAGGUAAUGACUCGUGGUAAGGUAACAUCGAAAUUGAUAUGCGAAAGUGAAUGGGUAAUCUGCAGCCAAGCACCCUCUUAAACAGAGAGAGGGUGUGCAGUUCAUCGACUAUAAGGAGGUUGGUACAUAAUUAUAAAGUAAUUUUUAAAAUUAUUUACUUAAGAUAUAGUCAGGCAUAACUUAAAAGUUAUG